AACCUGGUGGUUGAAUGGUAAAGCGCUUGUCGGGGAGCCAGAGGAUCCUGGGUUCGAUCCCCGAUGGGGUCA
rnacentral:tRNA from 1 species